AUGGCUCCUGUAGAGGCUCCAGCAGAUGGAGAGAAAAAGGAAAGAGUCGCAGUCGGUGCUCCUUUCACGUCGAUUGCAACGACCUUUGCGCAUUGCCCUGAGGAUGGUAAUGAUGAUGUGAUCCAGACAUAUGCUCGCGUGUACAUGUGGUACGUUAUCAGUAGGACUCUUUUUGUUGACGCCACUGGUAAGAACGCUCAAUGGAUGUGGCUUAAGGCGUUUACCGUCUUUGACAGCCAAUGGAGUUGGGGUUAG
rnacentral:rRNA from 1 species